CUGAUUUUCUGCCACUGGACUCCUGUGAUAUCUCUUUUCCACCAAAGCAUUUUGAGAGCCGGUUCGGAGCCGGUGCCUACUCACGAACCAGUUCUUUGUGUUUCGACAGCCAAAGAACCGGUUCUCGGCCAGGAAAACUGGUUCCAAAGCGGCACCAACUCUUUGCUGGACUAGAACCGUUAUUUUACCACGUCAUGCUUACUAAAACGUGUUCGAGGAGAUCCAGAGGGAGAUGGCUAUAGCGAGGUUUAACAGAACCAAGCAGAUCAAUAACAAGUUAAAAAAAACUAAAAAAGAAUUACAGGGACCAAAAGAAGGAGUUGGGGCGAAGUGGAAAUGGAUGGCCACGUAGUUGAAAUCCCCAUUUUGAGGUUUUGGACUUGGUCCUCGGCAACAGACCGGCGUGCCAGGUCACCAGGGCAUUAAAUUCUGCCACUGCCAUGCUAGAAUCUAUGGUGGAUGAGACGCUGCUGAGGGUAUUGCCAACAACGUUACUGAUUCUGAGUCGUUGGGCAUUGAUGAUUGUGAACCUGACUGGGAGCUACCGCUACCACUCCACUGCAGCUCACCAGUACCGUCUUGCAGCUCAGCAGCUGAAAACUCCUCAUCUGCCUCUUCCACUCAGUCAACCAGAAAGGGCAAAAGGAAACGAGACAUGAAUGGGGAGCUGCUAGAAUAUUUUGAGAGGUCUGACGAAAGGUUCCUGCAGCACUGCAAGGAAAUGAAUGAUACCUUGCUGAAGAAAAUGGAUGCAGACUCAACUGCAAUGCUUGGACUCAUGGAGCGUAUGGUCACGGUGAUGGAGAGGCAAUCCCACUGAUGAGUGCUACUGAAUCAGAAAGAAACUAUGUUGUACACACUGCACUGCACACACUUCAAUAUUUUAGUUUUUGCACAGUGUACUUUUGCAAAAAAUAAACGUUUUCUGAAGAAACA